rnacentral:rRNA from 1 species
UACUGCAGUCGAGCGGACUUGAUGAGAAGCUUGCUUCUCUGACAGUUAGCGGCGGACGGGUGAGUAACACGUAGGCAACCUGCCUUUCAGUCUGGGAUAACUUCCGGAAACGGAUGCUAAUACCGGAUACAUCGUUUCUCCGCAUGGAGAGAUGAGGAAAGACGGCGCAAGCUGUCACUGAGAGAUGGGCCUGCGGCGCAUUAGCUAGUUGGUGGGGUAACGGCUCACCAAGGCGACGAUGCGUAGCCGACCUGAGAGGGUGAACGGCCACACUGGGACUGAGACACGGCCCAGACUCCUACGGGAGGCAGCAGUAGGGAAUCUUCCACAAUGGGCGAAAGCCUGAUGGAGCAAUGCCGCGUGAGUGAUGAAGGUUUUCGGAUCGUAAAGCUCUGUUGCCAGGGAAGAACGUCCGGGUGAGUAACUGCACCCGGAGUGACGGUACCUGAGAAGAAAGCCCCGGCUAACUACGUGCCAGCAGCCGCGGUAAUACGUAGGGGGCAAGCGUUGUCCGGAAUUAUUGGGCGUAAAGCGCGUGCAGGCGGCGGAUUAAGUCGGAUGUUUAAGAUCGGGGCUCAACCCCGAUUCGCAUCCGAAACUGGUCCGCUUGAGUGUAGGAGAGGAAAGUGGAAUUCCACGUGUAGCGGUGAAAUGCG